AUUGAACGCUGGCGGCAUGCCUUACACAUGCAAGUCGAACGGCAGCGCGGGCUUCGGCCUGGCGGCGAGUGGCGAACGGGUGAGUAAUACAUCGGAACGUGCCCAGUAGCGGGGGAUAGCUCGGCGAAAGCCGGAUUAAUACCCCAUACGAACUGAGGGCGAAAGCGGGGGAUCUUCGGACCUCGGGGCAUUGGAGCGGCCGAUGGCCGAUUAGCGAGUUGGUGGGGUAAAGGCCUACCGAGGCGACGAUCUGUAGCUGGUCUGAGAGGACGACCAGCCACACUGGGACUGAGACACGGCCCAGACUCCUACGGGAGGCAGCAGUGGGGAAUUUUGGACAAUGGGCGAAAGCCUGAUCCAGCAAUGCCGCGUGUGUGAUGAAGGCCUUCGGGUUGUAAAGCACUUUUGGCGGGAACGAAAAGGACUGUGCCAAUACCACGGUUCGAUGACGGUACCCGCAGAAUAAGCACCGGCUAACUACGUG
rnacentral:rRNA from 1 species